GACGAACCGUGCGAACGUUGUUCGGAAUCACUGGGCUUAAAGGGCGCGUAGGCGGGCUGUCAAGUCUGGGGUGAAAUCCCACGGCUCAACCGUGGAACUGCCUCAGAUACUGACGGCCUCGAGGAAGGUAGGGGCGUGCGGAACUGUGAGUGGCGCGGUGAAAUGCGUUGAUAUUCACAGGAACUCCGGUGGCGAAAGCGGUGCGCUGUACCUUUUCUGACGCUGAGGCGCGAAAGCUACGGGAGCAAACGGG
rnacentral:rRNA from 1 species